UGAACGCUGGCGGCGUGCCUACUACAUGCAAGUCGAGCGAACGGACGAGAAGCUUGCUUCUCUGAUGUUAGCGGCGGACGGGUGAGUAACACGUGGAUAACCUACCUAUAAGACUGGGAUAACUUCGGGAAACCGGAGCUAAUACCGGAUAAUAUUUUGUACCGCAUGGUUCAAAAGUGAAAGACGGUCUUGCUGUCACUUAUAGAUGGAUCCGCGCUGCAUUAGCUAGUUGGUAAGGUAACGGCUUACCAAGACAACGAUGCAUAGCCGACCUGAGAGGGUGAUCGGCCACACUGGAACUGAGACACGGUCCAGACUCCUACGGGAGGCAGCAGUAGGGAAUCUUCCGCAAUGGGCGAAAGCCUGACGGAGCAACGCCGCGUGAGUGAUGAAGGUCUUCGGAUCGUAAAACUCUGUUAUUAGGGAAGAACAUAUGUGUAAGUAACUGUGCACAUCUUGACGGUACCUAAUCAGAAAGCCACGGCUAACUACGUG
rnacentral:rRNA from 1 species